UGAAGUAAUCAUUGAAGUCGUUGCUCUUGCUGAGUGAGGGGUCUCUUUAACUCACGAGCUCUUCAGCCUUGGGAUGUCGUUUUCGGAAGCGUGCUCAAUUUGGGAACUUGAUAUAAAGCUUCUCUUAGAACAAAUCGUGCGUUGGAAUCUGUUCUUGUUAUCAUAUUUCUCUUCGUUGUAAUCUCUCUCGUCUAACUUACUGUCGUGGUGAUCGUAUCUUAUUGCGAUAGAAAUACGAUAGCUUUCGAACUUGUUCUUCCUUUUCUUAUGAGAGCUCGUUCUCUUGUCUUAUAAGAGGGCGGAAGAAGAUUCUUAUUAUCACGAUAAGAAUAUAAUUAUGUUUAUAGUUUUCUCCAUUCUUGGUUUUAUUGAGCUGUUUUGUCGGAUAUGGGAUUAUAUUCUCCGUUCUUGGUUUUAUUGAGCUGCUUUGUCGGAUAAAGGAUUAUAUUCUCCGUUCUUGGUUUUAUUGAGCUGCUUUGUCUGAUAAGGGAUUAUAUUCUGGUUAAAUACGUUGUCGUAUCUGACUCGUGAAGCAAUGGCGAACAUAUUAAUGGUCUUUAAGACUCUUGCUCUUCUUCUUUGAAAAGUGGAGGAAUCUGAUCUCUUGUGCAUAUGCGAUCUAUUGCGAUCACAUUUAGACAGCUCGAGAAAGCGUGACUCUCAUCGUUUGGCAAACAUGGAAACAUCAUGACAGAAAACAGCCACAUAUCUUCUCUGAAUUUUGUUGUUUCUGAUCUAGCAAGAUCAAUGCCAUCGCGGCUUGAUGGUUCAUUUGUUGCGGUAUCAGGAACCACAUGAGAUGGAUCCAUUUUCGUGCUUACAAGCCUUAGAUUGGUUUUUAACGAAGACACGAAGAAGAUAUGGGGGUUGAGAUUGAUGAUGGCAAGUCGUCUCUUUUUUCUGGGGCGGACCGGUUUGCUCGAUGGUCUCGGUGAAGUUUUGUCUUCGAUCUUCGCGUCGGGUUUGGAUAGAUCCGUAUCAUCGUUUCAUGGUUCAGUAGUAUCGAUGGCAGUGGAGGUCGGAUCCAUUCUCGUGCUUUCGAAGCUUAGGAUCGGGUUCCAAGUAAGGAUGUCUUUUGUCUAUCUUCCCCACAGUCGGCGCCAAAAUGUAGAUCCUAAAAUCUACACUAAGUAUUUGAUAUUGUUUGAGAUGUAAAACUUGGGAAGAAAGAACUUCGUGGGUGACAAUAUCCCCAGAACACAACGAUAGAAUUGGAUUCGAGUUGACAAUAAUGGACUUUAUUCUUAUGUCGAAUAAUAUCGAGAUCUCGGAGGAGAGAAAGAUCGUGACUGAACUCGGGGUCGAGCUGCCUACGUACCCGUCAAGGGAUCAAGUCUAAACAUAGUUCGAUUAUGAUCAUCACGGAUGAGAUAUCGGUUUCGUCGGUCUCGAGCGAGACGUCGGGUUCGUCUGGUUUCGUUCGUCUUGUGUGAGACAUUGACUAUGUGUAAACGGCAUCGUAUUUACGAGCUCUUGCCGUUUGCAUGAUCUAGGUUCAUCGUUGUGGUCAAUGAGAUUGUAACAUAAUGAUUCGAUAAUCAUGGAAGUGAUUAUAAGUAUUAUGGUUGUUUCUCCUAUUGAGUGAGGAAUCUCUUCAAGUCUCAAGCUCUCUUACCAAGACGUAGAGAACUAGAUUUCUUGUUUAAGUGUGAUCUUAUGUAGAGGAAGCAUGGUCUCCCCUUCCUCCUCUAAUAUUAUCUCUUCUUUUAUUUAUGUAUUUCUUUUUUUAUGAGAGCUUGUUCUCCCUCAAAAA
rnacentral:lncRNA from 1 species